GCACCAUUAGCAUUUGAGGUGAAGUUCUGUUAUACACUCAGGCUGUGGCUCUCUGAAAGUCAGUGCAUCACAGAACUUUGUCUCGAAAGCUUUCUA
ensembl:miRNA MIR148B microRNA 148b